UGGAUUUUCUCUUGUGUUUCUCUCCGAUUUUCUACGGUAUGCGGACUUACACAAAUAAACACAUUAUCUAUCCUAAUUUCAACAUUUAAAUUUCUAUGCAUUUCCUUUUUCAAUGAUUGAGAUUUAACUAGACCCUACGGUCACCGUCACUGCAUAAGAUCCAUUCUUUCUCUAGCACCAACCCUAGUAAUGGAAACAACCGGGAGUGUAAAUGACUUCUGUCGGGUUUUGUGUACCAUGAUUAUUACCAGCCAUGUCAGCUUUAAGCUUUAAGUCUUCAUUGUCAUGCUAUUGUCUUUGACUAAUAUUUGUCGUGUCCUUUUUGAAUUCUGUUCUUCUUCCAACAAGAUUCACUCGCGGCCAACUGAAUUGACAAUUUUACCUCUGCGGGAGUUAACUCACGCUGUAUGAGUUAACUAACACAUCUUAUACCAUUUGCGUGACUUACGUGUAUAUGACAGCAACACAUAAACAUAACACUUCACUUUUCUUUUCAUCCAAAGUGCGAUUUUUCCCCUCCAUGUGCGAAUUUCACAAAACUCAACCAAAUCAUCGUCAAAUCACGCAAUUGAACAAAUAUGUCUUGGAGGAAUACAGCUCAGAGGCCUCCUGAGCUGACGAGUGACAGACUUAGGUUAGGGAGAGUGCAGUCCUCUACUAGUAGGGCAUAGAGGGAAAGGGAUACACUACGCCAUCCUUUGGCUAGUCGAGGGAGAGGAGGGCACGAGACUUGCUAGGGUUGACGCUGCUGGGGCCUCAACGUCACAGAUGGGUCCAUCCCACACGGUGGACCCGACACAAUAUCAGCAACAUUAUGAGGAGUAGCACCAGGCGCAGAAUCAGACUUAUUAUGAGGAGCCUCAACAAUAUCAUUUUGACGUGGAUCAACAACAUUAGUAUGAAGAUCAUCAAUAUCAGCCUGAUAUUGAGCAGGAGCAACCUAAUAAGGAGCAUCCUCAGCAGAAGGAGGGUGGGGGUCAUGCUUAGGGGGUGCCAGUUGUGGAGUACGAGGCCAGACCGAACGGCCAUGGAGGGGGGCCUUAUGUGCCCACGCUUUUACCUCACUUCGGUAAACACGUGGCAUGUAGGAUAUAUGUCGAUGUCAAUGUAAGUAUAUACAUGACCUGGUUCUGUAGUGUAUCACAUCCUAUUGUGAACCCCUCUGCGACCAUUCCUAACUACACUGCUGAUGCCCAUCCUCGUUCUGUCCCUCCCUACGAGGAGGUUAUUAUUAAGCAACAGUGGGCCAGACAUCCUCCCGACCCAUACAAGAUCAUCAACAACAUCAAAGCCAAAGUGGACAAUGCAAUGGGACAUCCUGAUGUGUUUCGUAAUCCAGAGGAGGUUCUUCGCAUGAUGCAGGGCAUACAGUCUGAGUGGAGCAUGCUGGAGCAGAUGCCGGCUCCGCGGAGGAGGAGUAGGAGUCCACGGAUGGAGCAUUAUGACUUUUGUAGUUUUUUAUGACAUUUUGUUGGAUGUGGAUGUAAUCCUAUUACAUUUGCACUUUUUGGCGUUUUUAUGACAUUUUUCGUUAUUUUAUUC